rnacentral:lncRNA from 1 species
ACUGGAAGAGCCACCAACAGAGUCUAAGCAGCCUAAGAGGGUCAUUAGACCUCAUGCCAAGUAUGAUGACUAUGUCACUUCUUUUAUUUCUUCUGCUAAUCAUGUUUACACUUAUUUUGCUUUGGUGGAGGAGGACAAGCCAACUUCAUAUAGGGAGGCAUGUGAGUCUACCAAUGCUGAAAAGUGGCAUUGCACUAUAGAGGAGGAGAUGG